GAUGAACGCUGGCGGCGUGCCUAAUACAUGCAAGUCGAGCGAACAGACGAGGAGCUUGCUCCUCUGACGUUAGCGGCGGACGGGUGAGUAACACGUGGAUAACCUACCUAUAAGACUGGGAUAACUUCGGGAAACCGGAGCUAAUACCGGAUAAUAUAUUGAACCGCAUGGUUCAAUAGUGAAAGACGGUUUUGCUGUCACUUAUAGAUGGAUCCGCGCCGCAUUAGCUAGUUGGUAAGGUAACGGCUUACCAAGGCAACGAUGCGUAGCCGACCUGAGAGGGUAAUCGGCCACACUGGAACUGGGCCACGGCCCAGACUCCUACGGGAGGCAGCAGUAGGGAAUCUUCCGCAAUGGGCGAAAGCCUGACGGAGCAACGCCGCGUGGGUGAUGAAGGUCUUCGGAUCGUAAAACUCUUUUAUUAGGGAAGAACAAAUGUGUAAGUAACUAUGCACGUCUUGACGGUACCUAAUCAGAAACCACGGCUAACUACGUG
rnacentral:rRNA from 1 species